rnacentral:sRNA from 1 species
CAGCAUUCUCUUAUCUUCCUUUGCCCUUACACAGACUCCAAGCCCACGGUAGAGACUCUGGGACCCACUGUGAAGAGCGAAGAGACAACCACCCCCUACCCCACCGAAGAGGAGGCCACGGAGUGUGGGGAGAACUGCAGCUUUGAAGAUGACAAAGAUUUGCAGCUCCCUUCGGGAUUCAACUGCAACUUCGAUUUCCCCGAGGAGCCCUGUGGUUGGAUGUAUGACCAUGCCAAGUGGCUCCGGACCACCUGGGCCAGCAGCUCCAGCCCGAAUGACCGGACAUUUCCAGAUGACAGGAAUUUCUUGCGGCUGCAGAGUGACAGCCGGAGAGAGGGCCAGUAUGCCCGGCUCAUCAGCCCCCCUGUCCACCUGCCCCGAAGCCCGGUGUGCAUGGAGUUCCAGUACCAGGCCACGGGCGGCCGC